UAGCUGAUGAGCGGCCUGUGAGGAAUUUAGAGGAAGCCAGGAUUCUUGACUUCAAUGAGUUUUUGAUCCCGGAUUCGGCGCCAGCGGGUCCACCAGAGUCACCCACUCAGGCAUUUUCUCAUGGGUCUGCCGAGCCAGCGGUGUCUUCCCAUGUGAUUGUCGAGCCACAGGAUUCGGCGCCAGUGGGUCCACAGGAGCGACCCAUUCAG